rnacentral:other from 1 species
AAACGUCUGGGGUGUACGAGGAAUCAGAUAAUGUCUAACCUACAUUAAAAUUAGGGAACCUGAAUUGAUUCGGAAGAUGGAGAAUUGUCCAAGAGGCAAGUAACAGAGACCGAGCUUAAGGAACCCACCUGCGAGUAAGCAGGUUUAGACAUUCAGAGGAACCGGCACUUUGGAAGCCUU